GAUGAACGCUGGCGGCGUGCCUAAUACAUGCCAGUCGAGCGAACAGACGAGGAGCUUGCUCCUCUGACGUUAGCGGCGGACGGGUGAGUAACACGUGGAUAACCUACCUAUAAGACUGGGAUAACUUCGGGAAACCGGAGCUAAUACCGGAUAAUAUAUUGAACCGCAUGGUUCAAUAGUGAAAGACGGUUUUGCUGUCACUUAUAGAUGGAUCCGCGCCGCAUUAGCUAGUUGGUAAGGUAACGGCUUACCAAGGCAACGAUGCGUAGCCGACCUGAGAGGGUGAUCGGCCACACUGGAACUGAGACACGGUCCAGACUCCUACGGGAGGCAGCAGUAGGGAAUCUUCCGCAAUGGGCGAAAGCCUGACGGAGCAACGCCGCGUGAGUGAUGAAGGUCUUCGGAUCGUAAAACUCUGUUAUUAGGGAAGAACAAAUGUGUAAGUAACUAUGCACGUCUUGACGGUACCUAAUCAGAAAGCCACGGCUAAUUACGUG
rnacentral:rRNA from 1 species